rnacentral:rRNA from 1 species
UACGUAGGCAGCGAGCGUUGUUCGGAGUUACUGGGCGUAAAGGGUGUGUAGGCGGUUGUUUAAGUUUGGUGUGAAAUCUCCCGGCUCAACUGGGAGGGUGCGCCGAAUACUGAAUGACUAGAGUGCGGGAGAGGAAAGUGGAAUUCCUGGUGUAGCGGUGAAAUGCGUAGAUAUCAGGAGGAACACCGGUGGUGUAGACGGCUUUCUGGACCAUAGCUGACGCUGAGACACGAAAGCGUGGGUAGCAAACAGG